rnacentral:rRNA from 1 species
GACGAACGCUGGCGGCGUGCUUAACACAUGCAAGUCGAACGGUAAGGCCCUUCGGGGUACACGAGUGGCGAACGGGUGAGUAACACGUGGGUGAUCUGCCCUGCACUUCGGGAUAAGCCUGGGAAACUGGGUCUAAUACCGGAUAGGACCACUGCCUGCAUGGGUGGGGGUGGAAAGCUUUUGCGGUGUGGGAUGGGCCCCCGGCCUAUCAGCUUGUUGGUGGGGUGAUGGCCUACCAAGGCGACGACGGGUAGCCGGCCUGCGAGGGUGACCGGCCACACUGUGGCUGAGAUACGGCCCAGACUCCUACGGGAGGCAGCAGUGGGGAAUAUUGCACAAUGGGCGCAAGCCUGAUGCAGCCACGCCGCGUGAGGGAUGACGGCCUUCGGGUUGGAAACCUCUUUCAGCACCGACGAAGCGCAAGUGACGGUAGGUGCAGAAGAAGGACCGGCCAACUACGUGCCAGCCGCCGCAGUAA